rnacentral:rRNA from 1 species
AACGAACGCUGGCGGCAUGCCUAACACAUGCAAGUCGAACGAGACCUUCGGGCCUAGUGGCGCACGGGUGCGUAACGCGUGGGAACCUGCCCUUAGGUUCGGAAUAACUCCCCGAAAGGGGUGCUAAUACCGGAUAAUGUCUUCGGACCAAAGAUUUAUCGCCUUUGGAUGGGCCCGGGUUGGAUUAGCUAGUUGGUAGGGUAAAAGCCUACCAAGGCGACGAUCCAUAGCUGGUCUGAGAGGAUGAUCAGCCACACUGGGACUGAGACACGGCCCAGACUGCUACGGGAGGCAGCAGUGGGGAAUAUUGGACAAUGGGCGAAAGCCUGAUCCAGCAAUGCCGCGUGAGUGAUGAAGGCCUUAGGGUUGUAAAGCUCUUUUACCCGGGAUGAUAAUGACAGUACCGGGAGAAUAAGCUCCGGCUAACUCCGUG